rnacentral:rRNA from 1 species
GAUGAACGCUGGCGGCGUGCCUAAUACAUGCCAGUCGAGCGAACGGACGAGAAGCUUGCUUCUCUGAUGUUAGCGGCGGACGGGUGAGUAACACGUGGAUAACCUACCUAUAAGACUGGGAUAACUUCGGGAAACCGGAGCUAAUACCGGAUGAUAUUUUGAACCGCAUGGUUCAAAAGUGAAAGACGGUCUUGCUGUCACUUAUAGAUGGAUCCGCGCUGCAUUAGCUAGUUGGUAAGGUAACGGCUUACCAAGGCAACGAUGCAUAUCCGACCUGAGAGGGUGAUCGGCCACACUGGAACUGAGACACGGUCCAGACUCCUACGGGAGGCAGCAGUAGGGAAUCUUCCGCAAUGGGCGAAAGCCUGACGGAGCAACGCCGCGUGAGUGAUGAAGGUCUUCGGAUCGUAAAACUCUGUUAUUAGGGAAGAACAUAUGUGUAAGUAACUGUGCACAUCUUGACGGUACCUAAUCAGAAAGCCACGGCUAACUACGUG